CCCGGUCACGGCUUUUCUUCAACCCCCAACUUCUAUUUUUUCACUUUUCUAAGCAGAAAAUUGGUCAAAUUUGAAUUUGUAUGUAAAAAAUGCUUCCAAGCUUUACAUUCUUUGCAAUCUCCAUUAAAAAUUCGGUAGAUAGAACACCACCAAACAGCUUUAUAAACUUCCAACGAAGAAAUUACAAGAAUAAAAAACAUAGAAAGGUAAGAGAGAGUUGUUGAAGGAGAAAACUUUAUAUAUAUAUAUAUAUAUGUAUAUAUACACAGCGCCUGAAAUCACAAAAACCAUCUCAUAAAUAAUCCAUGGGAAGCUCCCAAGCAUCGGUAGUUUCUCUCAUCUUUGAGCGGUACUUCCGACUAGAUGAAUGCCUAUCCCUGCGUCUGUAAUCGCCUUGAUCACGUCUGCCUUUGUCUGAAUCUUCUUCAACUUCGAUGAAAUGAUUGCCAACAUUCUGUGCAUCCCAAAUGCCCUAGCAUUGGAUUUGGAGAGAGUAAUUAAUUAGCAGGAGAUGAUUAAAAGUAGUAACACUUAGCUAAUAAAGAAGAAAACUACUUCAAUCUGAGAUUUCAUAUUACCCUCUAAAAUUCCCUUUCAACUUAUGAAAAUGCAGAAAUAACCAAUUGGUGUAACUGAUGUUUAAGUGGAAGAGUUUUGUACAAAUGCGACGUUUUUGAUGGUUUGUACAUGCAUAAUCUUACCACAUAAUUAGGGGGGGAAAUCAAAAGGAGGAAUAUUAAUUGACAUCAAGGUUUGUUGUAAAUGGGAACUCCCGUGCAAAAAGUACCUUGGUUAGCCUUUGUAUGCGUGAAGCAGCAGCUUCAUGUACCACUACCGUGUCAGGCAACACUUCCAGCACAUCAUCUACCAACAGAGCAUAGGUGCUCACCUGAAAUGAAAACAAGAAAAUAAUG
rnacentral:lncRNA from 1 species